UAACAAAGUCUAGAAUUGCUUUUAGUGUUCUAGUGGCAUGGUGGUAGCAUUUCCUGGUCACACGCAUAAGAUUGUGGGCUCGAGUUUUGGCGGGUGAGGUUGUUGAUUGUAUAUCGAAUUUUAUACAUCACACUCAAUUUGUUAUUAUGCCUAUUUGUUUUUUGGUUUUCACAUCACCGGUCAUUAUUUAUGAUGAGUUGGUUACGUUUAAUCCCACUUUAUAUGAGUAUGGGCUUCAUCUGAACCGUGAAUCAAUAUUUUUACCUUCUUUCUCAGCUCUUGCCCGAACCCCCCAGCAGACUGUUCAGGAGCUCUUGACAAUCCCGGCCCCAACUCCCACGUCCUUUUCGGAGCUCUCGCCGCUGGACCAGCUGAGAACGGUGACUACACAGACGACCGCAAGGAUAUAACUCACAAUGGUGUGUCCUGCACCUACAACGCUGCCUUCACCGGGGCUCUCGCCGCACUUGUCGAGAUUAGUUAAACGUCCCGACUUGUCCCUAGACAUCAUCGUGAGAACUGCUUCAUACCGCUUAACUUUGUAGACAGUUUUCUCCAUUCUGCGUGUUUCCUAAUCAGGCUGACACAUUGUCUGCAUUCUUGAUGGCGCAGUAAUAAAUAUAGUAGAAAUA